rnacentral:rRNA from 1 species
UACAGAGGGUGCGAGCGUUGUCCGGAAUCACUGGGCGUAAAGGGCGCGUAGGUGGCCCGGUCAGUCCGUGGUGAAAGCGCGGGGCUCAACCCCGCGUCGGCCAUGGAUACUGCUGGGCUUGAGCACUGUAGAGGCAGGCGGAAUUCCGGGUGUAGCGGUGGAAUGCGUAGAGAUCCGGAGGAAGACCGGUGGCGAAGGCGGCCUGCUGGGCAGUUACUGACACUGAGGCGCGACAGCGUGGGGAGCAAACAGG